GACAGGCCGAGGGAGCCUCCGCCCGAGACCGCGCAGCCGCCGCCGCCAUGGCUACAAAAGACCCCACAGCUGUAGAGAGAGCAAACUUGUUAAACAUGGCUAAACUGAGUAUCAAAGGACUCAUUGAAUCUGCUCUGAGCUUUGGCCGCACUUUGGAUUCUGACUAUCCCCCCUUGCAGCAAUUCUUUGUUGUUAUGGAACAUUGCCUGAAACACGGUCUUAAAGUAAGAAAAUCAUUUUUGAGUUAUAACAAAACCAUCUGGGGCCCUUUGGAACUGGUGGAGAAGCUGUACCCCGAAGCAGAGGAAAUAGGAGCUAGUGUCCGGGAUCUACCUGGUCUGAAGACCCCUCUGGGUCGAGCAAGAGCGUGGCUUCGAUUAGCCCUCAUGCAAAAAAAAAUGGCCGAUUACUUACGUUGCUUAAUUAUUCAGAGGGAUCUCUUGAGUGAGUUUUAUGAGUAUCACGCACUAAUGAUGGAAGAAGAAGGAGCAGUAAUUGUUGGGCUGCUGGUUGGCCUGAAUGUGAUUGAUGCUAAUCUGUGUGUGAAGGGAGAGGAUUUAGACUCACAAGUUGGAGUGAUUGAUUUUUCUAUGUAUUUAAAGAAUGAAGAAGAUAUUGGAAAUAAAGAAAGGAAUGUUCAAAUUGCUGCCAUAUUAGACCAAAAGAAUUAUGUUGAAGAAUUAAAUAGACAACUGAAUUAGCAAUAGCAAAGAAUAACAUCAUUAAACUCCAGGAAGAAAAUCAUCAAUUACGAAGUGAAAAUAAAUUGAUUUUAAUGAAAACACAGCAGCACCUAGAGGUUACCAAAGUAGAUGUGGAAACUGAGCUUCAAACAUAUAAGCAUUCUCGUCAGGGGCUAGAUGAAAUGUACAAUGAAGCCAGAAGGCAGCUUCGAGAUGAAUCUCAGUUACGACAGGAUGUAGAGAAUGAGCUAGCAGUACAAGUUAGUAUGAAGCAUGAGAUUGAACUUGCCAUGAAGUUGCUGGAGAAAGAUAUCCAUGAGAAACAAGAUACUCUGAUAGGCCUUCGACAACAACUAGAGGAAGUUAAAGCAAUUAACAUAGAGAUGUAUCAAAAGUUGCAGGGUUCUGAAGAUGGCUUGAAAGAAAAAAA
rnacentral:sRNA from 1 species